rnacentral:rRNA from 1 species
GUGACCUCAAAUCAGGUAGGACUACCCGCUGAACUUAAGCAUAUCAAUAAGCGGAGGAAAAGAAACUAACAAGGAUUCCCCUAGUAACUGCGAGUGAAGCGGGAAAAGCUCAAAUUUAAAAUCUGGCGGUCUUUUGGCUGUCCGAGUUGUAAUCUAGAGAAGUGUUAUCCGCGCUGGACCGUGUACAAGUCUCCUGGAAUGGAGCAUCAUAGAGGGUGAGAAUCCCGUCUUUGACAUGGACUGCCAGGGCUUUUGUGAUGCGCUCUCAAAGAGUCGAGUUGNUUGGGGAAUGCAGCUCAAA